rnacentral:rRNA from 1 species
CGAAAGCGUGGGGAGCGAACAGGAUUAGAUACCCUGGUAGUCCACGCCGUAAACGGUGGAUGCUGGAUGUGGGGCCCGUUCCACGGGUUCCGUGUCGGAGCUAACGCGUUAAGCAUCCCGCCUGGGGAGUACGGCCGCAAGGCUAAAACUCAAAGAAAUUGACGGGGGCCCGCACAAGCGGCGGAGCAUGCGGAUUAAUUCGAUGCAACGCGAAGAACCUUACCUGGGCUUGACAUGUUCCCGACGGUCGUAGAGAUACGGCUUCCCUUCGGGGCGGGUUCACAGGUGGUGCAUGGUCGUCGUCAGCUCGUGUCGUGAGAUGUUGGGUUAAGUCCCGCAACGAGCGCAACCCUCGCCCCGUGUUGCCAGCGGAUUAUGCCGGGAACUCACGGGGGACCGCCGGGGUUAACUCGGAGGAAGGUGGGGAUGACGUCAGAUCAUCAUGCCCCUUACGUCCAGGGCUUCACGCAUGCUACAAUGGCCGGUACAACGGGAUGCGACGCGGCGACGCGGAGCGGAUCCCUGAAAACCGGUCUCAGUUCGGAUCGCAGUCUGCAACUCGACUGCGUGAAGGCGGAGUCGCUAGUAAUCGCGAAUCAGCAACGUCGCGGUGAAUGCGUUCCCGGGCCUUGUACACACCGCCCGUCAAGUCAUGAAAGUGGGCAGCACCCGAAGCCGGUGGCCUAACCCCUUGUGGGAUGGAGCCGUCUAAGGUGAGGCUCGUGAUUGGGACUAAGUCGUAACAAGGUAGCCGUACCGGAAGGUGCGGCUG